GAUGAACGCUGGCGGCGUGCCUAAUACAUGCAAGUCGAGCGAACGGACGAGAAGCUUGCUUCUCUGAUGUUAGCGGCGGACGGGUGAGUAACACGUGGAUAACCUACCUAUAAGACUGGGAUAACUUCGGGAAACCGUAGCUAAUACCGGAUAAUAUUUUGAACCGCAUGGUUCAAAAGUGAAAGACGGUCUUGCUGUCACUUAUAGAUGGAUCCGCGCUGCAUUAGCUAGUUGGUAAGGUAACGGCUUACCAAGUCAACGAUGCAUAGCCGACCUGAGAGGGUGAUCGGCCACACUGGAACUGAGACACGGUCCAGACUCCUACGGGAGGCAGCAGUAGGGAAUCUUCCGCAAUGGGCGAAAGCCUGACGGAGCAACGCCGCGUGAGUGAUGAAGGUCUUCGGAUCGUAAAACUCUGUUAUUAGGGAAGAACAUAUGUGUAAGUAACUGUGCACAUCUUGACGGUACCUAAUCAGAAAGCCACGGCUAACUACGUG
rnacentral:rRNA from 1 species